rnacentral:rRNA from 1 species
AGAGUUUGAUUCUGGCUCAGGAUGGACGCUAGCGGCAGGCCUAAUACAUGCAAGUCGAGGGGCAGCAGGGGUAGCAAUACUCGCUGGCGACCGGCGCACGGGUGCGUAACACGUAUGCAACUUUCCUUCAACUGGAAGAUAGCCCGAAGAAAUUCGGAUUAAUAUUCCAUAGUUAUAUGAAAUGGCAUCAUUUUAUAUUUAAAGCCCAGGCGGUUGAAGAUGGGCAUGCGUUCGGUUAGCUAGUUGGUGAGGUAAUGGCUCACCAAGGCUACGAUCGAUAGGGGAUCUGAGAGGAUUAACCCCCACACUGGUACUGAGACACGGACCAGACUCCUACGGGAGGCAGCAGUAAGGAAUAUUGGACAAUGGAGGCAACUCUGAUCCAGCCAUGCCGCGUGAAGGAUGAAGGUCCUAUGGAUUGUAAACUUCUUUUGAACGGGAGAAAACCUUCGGUCGUGUACCGAAGCUGAUAGUACCGUCAGAAUAAGGGUCGGCUAACUUCGUGCCAGCAGCCGCGGUAAUACGGAGGACCCGAGCGUUAUCCGGAUUUAUUGGGUUUAAAGGGUGCGUAGGCGGAAUGGUAAGUCAGUGGUGAAAUCUUGUGGCUUAACUGCAAAACUGCCAUUGAUACUGCCAAUCUUGAGUACAUUUGAUGUGGGCGGAAUGUGCCAUGUAGUGGUGAAAUACUUAGAUAUGGCACAGAACACCGAUCGCGAAGGCAGCUCACAAAACUGUUACUGACGCUGAGGCACGAAAGCGUGGGGAUCAAACAGGAUUAGAUACCCUGGUAGUCCACGCCUUAAACUAUGAUUACUCGAUGUGUGCGAUACACAGUACGCGUCUAAGCGAAAGCGUUAAGUGAUCCACCUGGGGAGUACGGUCGCAAGAUUGAAACUCAAAGAAAUUGACGGGGGCCCGCACAAGCGGAGGAGCAUGUGGUUUAAUUCGAUGAUACGCGAGGAACCUUACCUGGGCUUGAAAGUUAGUGAAUGCUGUGGAAACAUGGCAGGCCGCAAGGACACGAAACUAGGUGCUGCAUGGCUGUCGUCAGCUCGUGCCGUGAGGUGUUGGGUUAAGUCCCGCAACGAGCGCAACCCCUAUCUUUAGUUGCCGGCGAGUAAUGUCGGGUACUCUAAAGAAACUGCCCGUGCAAACGGUGAGGAAGGUGGGGAUGACGUCAAGUCAGCACGGCCCUUACGUCCAGGGCUGCACACGUGCUACAAUGGCGAGUACAAAGGGCAGCUACAUGUGACAUGAUGCUAAUCUCUAAAACUCGUCUCAGUUCGGAUUGAAGUCUGCAAUUCGACUUCAUGAAGCUGGAUUCGCUAGUAAUCGAAUAUCAGCAAUGAUUCGGUGAAUACGUUCCCGGGCCUUGUACACACCGCCCGUCAAACAAUGGAAGCUGAGGGUACUUAAAGUCGAUAACCGCAAGGAGUCGCCUAGGGUAAAAUCGGUAACUGGUGUUAAGUCGUAACAAGGUA